UGAGCACCUAGAAUGUGGGACAGAGAGAGAGAGUCAUGUGCACAUCAAUACAACUAACAGGUAGGGGUGUCAAGUCAAGCGGGGGGGGGGGGGGGGGGAGUGUCUCUAAUAUUCCACCUGAAAUCCAGAAGCUCAUGCCCUUCAGGGAUGGCUGCAAACGAUCAGAAAAUGACCAGCAGCUCCUCUGCACCGCUUACUGGUAAAAGUGAACUUUGGAUUUGCCCCUCUGACACAUCUGUUUGCUAAGUUGUGCCUCUGAAGUGCAGAGCCCCCCAGUGACCCUACACUGAAGCUUCUGGAUUCUGCAGGUGGAACUGGCCCACCUCCCACAGAAGAUUCUCGCUUCCGUGCCUUCUGUAGUUUGUGACCUUCGUGGGUCACGCCCCCACGGGGUUCCACACCGGCUACGGCAAGCACCCCCUCAGCGGCAGCUGGUGGAAUUCAAUCUGACGUUUACAGUGCUCCGUGUGACCCUGACAAAGGUGCUCCGGUUGUUGGACUUUACAAGCACGCACCUACUGCGUUGACCAUUCUGGCCGAGCAGCGCGCUGCCUCAAGGAGAAGAACGCAGAGUCACUUCCGGUCUCCCCCGACAGUCAAGCUCACAGACAGCCUUUUCCUGGUUUGACUUAGAAAUUUAUGUCUGGAUUUCGUAACAACGGUCUGUAUUUGCUGGCAAUACUGGAGUGAUCUAGUCUUUUGUAGAUCACCUUGGUGUUCAUUUGAAUACUUUUUGCACGUAGACCUUUCCGACGCCUGUCUUGGAGGGUUUCUGAGGUUCUGAGGCUACUUCUAAUCUGCUAGGUGUUCCAGGAGUUUCGGUAGGACCUUGAUGCGACUUGGCCACUCCUCUAUCAACUGCAUAAAUAUCCAAGUGGCUGCUAGCGACCAUGGGACAAAAACCCCUACCUCAGAGCUUAGAUUCAAGUGAAGAGACAGGCAAUAAGAGGUGUUUUUGAAGUCAGAAUGACCAGUACGUUAGUUGGAAAUACUCACUCACUAGGGCAAAAAUAAAGCAGGAAAGAGAGACAGAUGUCCAGAGGUAAGGGAAGUGGGUGGGACAUUGCAGACUGAACAAUAAGGGAAGGCCUCACCCAGACAGUGACUUAGGCGAAGUGCAUCGCAGGAGGGGCAGUAUCCCCAGCAGGCAGAAGAGCAGGUACACAGGCCCGCGGUGGGCAGGCCAGGGCAGCCAGAAUGGUAGGAACGAGUGCAGGAGGGACAAAGCAGAAGAUGAGGCCAAAGGAGUAACAGGCAGGAGGCAGACCACCGAGGGCCGUACACAUCAGGUUUCAGAAAGGCUUUGGCUUUUUCUGAGAGGAGAAGCUAAUGGAGAGUGCUGAGCGGAAGCGCCAAUGAGGUUAGACUUUAACAGACUUUCUAGCAGUAGGGCCAGGCCGGAAGCAAGGGGCCUUGUGACGAGGCCCCCACAGUGACCCAGGUGAAGGAGGCUGGUGGUGUGCCCCUUUGCUGUAACCACGCCACGCACCCACCCCGGGGCCAGCUCCCAAAUACGCCCACCCAAGAGCAGCCAACCCUGACUCUGCCGGGAAGCUCUUCCUUACCACCCACUCACGUUUCGUCACCCAGACGUCCAUCCCUGAACACGGCAGCCCUGCCUGUGGUUUCCUUUUGGGUGUUUGUUUACGGAGAGGAGCACAGGGAUGUCUUAAGUGUUUUUUAAUCUAUCAGUUUCCCUACAAUCUUUUCUUUCCCCUUUCAGUUUGGGGAAGAAACAAAUCAUUUGUCCUGUAGUUUCCCACAAUCUGGAUUUCACUGACGGUGCCAUUUUAUAUAGUUUAGUCUGUUCCUCUUUCCUCUGUAUCUCCCGCAAAUUUGACUUUUUUGAGCAAGGCUAUUUCAGAGGUGGUGAUAUGUUCUUCAUCAAGGGGUAUGUAGUACCUGGUAAGCUGUAUUUCUGUGACGUGAACAGGCAUGAAUACCCAAUGCCCAGAUCUUUAAUUCACUACAUCCCUUUUUGCAUUUGUUUGUUGAGAAAUUUCUAUAAAGAAUAGUUUCUUUCGAUUACAGUUUGUAUCUCAUUUUGUAUAGGAACUGAAUAGGAAAAGCAGGAUAAAUUUUGCUCCUCCCUCCCCUUUUAUAAACUGGACUCCAAAGCAGCCUCCAGAGAUGACUGAUAGGGUUUAUUCUGUUGUUGUACCAUCAACUCACGGAUUAAACAUAUUUAAUAUAUUUG